rnacentral:rRNA from 1 species
CAGUCGCCGCGGUAAUACGAAGGGUGCAAGCGUUACUCGGAAUUACUGGGCGUAAAGCGUGCGUAGGUGGUUGUUUAAGUCUGCUGUGAAAGCCCUGGGCUCAACCUGGGAAUUGCAGUGGAUACUGGGUCACUAGAGUGUGGUAGAGGAUAGUGGAAUUUCCGGUGUAGCAGUGAAAUGCGUAGAGAUCGGAAGGAACAUCUGUGGUGAAGGCGACUAUCUGGGCCAACACUGACACUGAGGCACGAAAGCGUGGGGAGCAAACAGGAUUAGAUACCCCUGUAGUCCCUGUCUCUUAUAC